UUAAAAUAGGUGAGGGCAGUAGGUAGAGAGGCGACUGUUGCAAGUGCGUUUAGGCCGUUCUCGCACAACUGGGUCGGUGUUUCAGUAGCGAGUGUUUACUGUGUACUCGUCGAAACCCUUAUUGAUCGUUUUGAGACGGUCAGUUUCGCGGUUACGGUGGCAGUGCGGGCGUUUUCGACAAGCCAAAACUUCUCGUUUUUCGAGUGCAAGCGCAAGUUUCAGCGCGUAGAAAUGUCGGAAGCGCUAACGAAUCAAUCGUGGAGGACCAUGAAUCACGAUCUAUAGGUUGUAAAUGUGGACCAAAGGUGAUGCUGCAGGGUCAGCUGUCUGACGCAGUGUCAUCUGUGCACACGAGUCAUCAUGGUCUCUCCCAUGACACCAGUGUUCACAGAGUCUCCGGAGGCUGUGGUGCCCCUGUACGAGGAGCCGCCUGGGAGCCUCGACGAACGGAGGGGUUCUUCAACCAGCAGCACGGAUGAUGUGCAUUGUUCUAUGACCCUCUUGGAGCGUCUCAUUCGCACCAGCAGCAUCUGGUUUCUGCCAGACGUGGGGCGCACAGGUGCCGUGCACUACUUGCAAGGCAAAGCAGUUGGGAACUUUAUAGUACGGCAGUCGAGCAAAAAAGGCACCCUAGCCCUGUCUGUGCGGCUACCUGUUGAUGCUGGGCCGUACAUCGAGCACUACCUCAUUGAAGCCACAGCCGAGGCCAAGCACUGCCUGGAAGGGUCCGAGAACCAUUUCGCCUCAAUACCCGUGCUGGUCAAUCACUACUGCCAGUGCUGUGACGAACUGCCUGUACAGCUGUGCCUGCCAACGGUUUUACUUGAGGCGACCACAAGGCAGGAGCUGUCUGCCCUGUCACUUUUGGGCCAAGAGUUGUGGGUGUCAAGCUUGCUCAAGUCGGCUCCGUCAAGCGCGGGGUCCAGCACGUCGUGCGCCUCCUCUCAGGUGUCUCCCAAUCCAGACCACAACGCCAACAUCCACGUGUCGAGCUUCAAGAAGAGCUUGCCUGUUAACUCCGUCGUCACCACCCCUCCAGUGGCGGCCACGAGGCCAAACUUUCUCGCGCUUCACAGUUCCACAGCCGACACCGGCGAAUUAGCAACUCAGGUUGCCGAUCCCCCUUCCCCACCCACGCAGAGUGAGGUCGCCCUCAUGUCCGAAGUGGCUGGCAGGUCAGCGUUCUACGUAGGUGUGGACUCAACCCAAAGUGCCGCACCUAGUAAGGCACCACCCAGCAAAGCCGUGCCUGACAAGGCGGCAUCUGUCAAGUCAGUGCCUGACAAGUCCGCAUCCAUCAAGUCAGCAUCUGUCAAGCCGUCACCCGUCAAGUCAGCAUCCGUCAAGCCUGCACCCAGUAAGACCAAGCCGCCUACUCCGGUGGAGGAGGAAAAGCCCCGGUGUCUUAUGAAACCGUCCCCGCGCAGGCGACGAAAACUCCCAGAGUCGUCGCCUGAAACCUACUACUCGAGUAGUCUUGCCGACAAAAUUAGCGACUAUGAGGACAUCUGGGGCACGGCCAACGGACGCGGCGGCGACAGUCCCGCUCCCGUACUCUCCACAUUCAAGCCGGAAGGCCUCGUGUGCCAGGCGACACAGACAGAGCUGCAUGGUGGAUCCAUGCCCGAGGGAAUUGAUGCUGCCGCGCAGACGCGGAACUUGUCUCGUUCCAUGCCCGGCAUGGUUAACGAUAAAACCCAGCCGGGCCAGUUUACCAGCCCCUUCUACAGUGAACCGGUGGACUCUCUGUUCCUCGUGGUGUCUGCACUCGAACCGCUGCAGAUCGACGAGCUGUCACCGUCUGCGUCGGCGCGCCGGGAACGACCCCUGAUGAGGCAUUCAGAACCUAACGUUCACUCUCUACGAAGCAGUACCCAUCGUUCUUCGGACCUGACGACUACGUUCGACGAAACGAACUCAUGCUCUUCGGACCACUUGCUGGCAGUGUCUGCGCCGGCUUUGCGUGGUAGCUCGGACGAUGGCCCUCCGAGCCGAUGUGGUCGGUCCUGGUCGGUAGACCCCUCGUGGAAGUGGCUUGUUUCGAGCGACGACGAGGAUAAUGGCAGCACCAUCGGGGACCUCAAGUUCCCUGUCGAGGAUGUUGAUGACUCCGACGCCGGUGGACUCGAGGAAAACGUGUCUACGGUAGAAGAGAUCAUUGGCAUCUCUGUGCCGGACUUGAGAGUGCCUCCAGUCCCUGCGUUGACGGAAGGCAACGUGCUGAGAGCAUCGCGUUACGACAACCUCGAUGCAGUGUCGGUAGCUGAGAGUGCAGCUACCGAUGGCAGCAGCAAGCACAACCACGGCGAAGACGACGCAUUAACCGAGUUCUGUGAGCCCUGGGACAGCCUGCGGUGGGAAAGGCUUCUGCGAUUGGUGGAGUCUUCUCCGGAUGCCCCAGAAAGCAAGGCGGAAGAGUCAAAGGUGUCCGUUGACUCUUUGGAGACGGCAUCGGCAGUCAGCGGCGAGGACUUGCUUCUUUCGGAGUGUCCGACCCUGGCAUUGGAGCACAAGCGGUCAAGCGGUUUUCAGGAGCACCUGGACAUGCUCAUGGCUUCGAGGAAGUUGGGAGGGCUGUACAAAAGGGACUCCACAGUGGGUGCCGAUGUUAAGAGCUAUAUAUUCAAAUUGGUGCAAGAGAGGAACACAACGUUUGCCAUGACGAUAGAAAACUUCAUCCAGUGCACACGUGAGAGCAGUGAAACAUCUCCUGCUGUGGUCAUGAGAAAUAUCCGGCAGUUCAUGAAUGGUAUGAAGAACUACCUGCUCAAGCAUGGAGAAGGCCAGUUUGAACAACUGGUACAAGAAGAACAGUCCAAGCUGAAGCCUGAUGAGUUCAUGAACAUUGAUGCAAUCAUUGAAGUGUCACUGCAUCGCUUGGUCAUCAAGCCUCUGCGGCGCUACCUGUACCAGCUUUUUGUCAAGCAAUACACACAGUCUGGUGCUUUGAAGCUGCUUUCUGAUAGCAUGAAGUAUGCCCGUACCAAGACAGCCCAGGAGCUUGGAAUAAAGAGUGACUUUGAGCCGCCACGGGCCGUCACGCUGGAGCUCGUUCAACAUUUCCUGGUCAAGUUGCAGAAGGCCUACUCGCCUUUGAGGAAGCUGGAGAACCUGCUGUCAGCCAUAUCCGUCAUAUACAGCAGCGUGCAGAGGGACCGCAAGUCGCAACCUGAGGGCGAGUCUUUUUCAUUGGGUGCUGAUGAUUUCCUGCCCAUCUUUCUGCACGUGCUGGUGCAAUGCGGCAUGGUGUCAGCCGAGGUGGAGGCCGACUACAUGUGGGGGCUGCUGCACCCUUCUCUGCUCACCGGUGAGGGAGGCUAUUACCUCACCACCUUGAGCAGCGCUGUGCACGUCCUAAAGUCCUUGAGAGAUGGUGAGGACGAGCCUUCUUCCACUGCUACUACUACUGCUGCUGCUGAUUCGGAGACUACACCUCUGCAGCCUACCCAGGGUUCUUCCAGCAAGGAGGCCUCUGCCCAGCCGCCGAUGUUUCGCUACCCUCGAAUGGCUGACCUCCAAGGCUUCAUGCAAAUUGUCAUCCCAGACGAACUCAGCGGCAGCAUCGUGGCAAAGACACUGCCCGUGCUGCCCCACAUGACUGCCAAGGAAGUCCGCAAGAUGAUCGCACACAAGUUCAGGGUCACAAAUCCCGAGGAUUAUGGCCUAUUCAAGCUAGUCAAAGGAGAAGAGACGCAGUUGACCGACAACGACUGUCCUCAGGCAAUCAAGGCUGACCUUCUCGCAAGCGGUGUGGACUGCCGCUUCGCCUACAAGCGCUACGAUGUCAAGUUUGUGUGGCCAUUCAGCGACAAGCCGGCUUGACCCGUCAAUCGCUCGACCAGGUCCGCUGUCCAUUGGAGUGCUUCCGAACAAAACUUGUUAGCAUUGCACAUUUCGCUAUUGUGGACUUACGAUGUGCUCGUGUCUUAUUCGGUGGUAGAUCACUUGGUUCGUGAAAGGAACAGUUUGCAGAAGAGUGCUGUAGACAUAAGUGUACAGGCUGCAGGAUUAUUCGUCCAUGUUCUGCAGUUACUGUGAUGCGUGAGUUUACCAUUCCUAUUUCAGAACCAAGCUGCAUGGAGAAUUGUUUUCGAGCUACGGGUGUACGACUUUUCAAAGGAAGCAAGGCACAACAGGCAUUCAGAACUAUGCUCCGUGUUGUUCCUUAGUGGAUUGAAUAGUUGCCCUCUGUGUUAGGCCAACACUCCAAAUCACAUCGUAUGACCUCGUAUGAACCGCUCAUAUGACAAAGGAGCUUGAGGACAGCCUGCACAGUUAAAUUCAUAAGUUUAAAUGCAUGGUACACAGCCAACUUCAGUGCCCGAACCCCACAGUGUUGUGAGCGGGCUUCAGUGUUGAGGCUAUGAUGUUUUAGUUGCAGAGUACGACACCUCUGCACAGGUGUAUAUUCGUUACGAAAAGAAAGUGCGGAAUAGCAUUUUAAACUCAAAUACAUAGUACUACCAUAUUGAGAUGAAAAUAUUAAUACAGGGUAUAUAUAGGCUUACGGUUCAAAUACUCAUUUGUAUGCUUAAAAGCAGUAAUAAAGGUAAAUCUUGAUUAGAUAACAAAACUGCAUAAAAGAGCACAUUGCUUCAUUACAUCGAAAUAGCAUAUAUUUUUGUGUAAAGACAACGAAACGGGCCACGCCUGCAGAAUGUGGGCCUUACUAACUCGUAAAAAGUGUAUAUUUAGCAGAAAUGAUCAUGGGCCGUAUUCCUCUUUCCAGAGCAUACACCUUCCCAUCCGUGAUAAAGCAGCGUGUGCCAAACUAUAUCCGUGUGGAUAUCGACUUGGCACAUGGAUGUAUAUCUUCGCUGCUUUCUGCAGUUGGCAGGAAGCUUGAAGACAAGCGUCGGCGCAUAAUAUCUUUCGCGGGCGUGUUCCACUACCAUGACUACUUUUUGGCAUCAACACAAGGGAGUUCUUAAAGCAAAGUUUCACAAAGAAAGCUGGAAUUGUGCAUGGCUGGUUCUUCGUGGCACAUGCAGGGUGUUUUUCUCUUUUGUAACCUAAAAGAUGAGCUGCUUCAUCUUGUUCUCUGUGGUCAUAGCUGCAUUGGUAAUAGUGGCGGCCACCUUUUAGAGUAGGUUGUGAUACUCGGCUGUCAUUGGACAUUAGUUUCAUUGACUUAACAUCUCAUUUUGUGUAAUAUUCACCUAUUUAGCCGACCUUACUGUUUUGUAAAAUAAUCAAGAAAUGCGGUUUUAUUAGUUUCGAAAAAAAGCAGUUACUCAGUGUGGUUGUAGCUUAGCAGCUGAAAGAAAAAAAAGGAAUCCGUUGUCGAGGACGUUAAACUUGCAUUGUUUAUUUUUAAGAGAAGCCCCUGGAAAAUUCGUCUAGCCAUACUACUUGAGCACAACUACUCAAAAAAGCACAGGGAAUGUCUUUUUGGCAGAACACAUACUGAAGAGAUGCUUCAAGAAAGAUACAUCAUGAUACAUUUGCUGCUUAAGCAUUUUUUUGGCCGCUUCAUCCAAACCUAUUUCAUCUCUAACCAUUGAAUCAAACAUUCUGGCUUCGCCCUUUGCUUGUACGGGCAGUGCUUCUUAUUAUCUGAACUGUGUAAUGGUUUCUGUGUCACGUUUAUUUCUAAAUUCUCGUUUAAGCUCACAGCUUGUCAGUCUUCUUCUAAUUGCAUUAUUUUAGUAUGUUCCACGUAGAAGAACCAGCCUUGAAAAUGUAGACAAAAUUCAUAAUUGCGUACCACUCUUCGUGAGAGGAUAUUGCGGUUGCUACCAAGACCACAUCGGAGCAAAUCUGGUAAUUUACAUAUAGUCUGUGUUGUUGCAUGGUACCGUCGUUUGCAGAAUUUCUUUAUAUGAAGUAAUGCAACCAUAUAUGCAGUUUUUCAUUUAGUUUUUGUGCCAGUGCUUUAAUAUCUGUACCUAAGUAGGUGUUCGAAAUUGGAUAGCACGAAAUCGACCAGGACUACGAAGGAACACAAAUGCACAGGACAGGCGCUACUCGCGACUAAGCUUUAUUCAGAAAAGUCUCCCUAGAUAUAUACACAGUCGAGUGGCGUGCGCAGGCGCAAUGCACAUGACAGUCAACAACGCUAAUCAGGAUCAGUAGAGCAAGACAUAUUCACAUCACAACCAAGUUUCUAAGAAUAGUUUUUCCUUACUGUGCAGCAAGAUUAUGAACCAACUAGCCCAGCAACGUAUUCUAUAAUGGAGAUGUCAUUACCUGUAAGUAGUGAAGGCCACUUUUCUUCUUCGACAUAAUGGUGCUCAGGACUGUCCAUACAGAUGCUCACAAUAAAAGCAACAAUCGGGAAAAAGUAGAAUGACAUCAAUUCUAAAUGUUCAUUAAACAAACAUAACCGGGCACAUGCAAACAAGGUCCUUCAUAAGUGGCACAUUCCAAGAACCACGUGUUGAGAGUAAUGCGCAUCUGAGUUACGGUUAGUGUGGGAUUGAUGGUGCAUGUUGCCCAAGAUGUUGCCAAUGUGUUCAUGCUUGUAAGUAAUGUCUAAGCUCUUUCUUUGUUGUUUCAAGCACCUUGAGGGAAAACGCCGCGAGUUGAAAUGACAUAGACGUGACAUUGUCAAAACAAACCUGUGUACUAUGUUCAAAUCGUACAAUUAUUCAGGGUAGGUGAGCUUGCGUGCAACAACGAAGUCGAGCCGCAGUUUUUCCCAAUGAAUGCUACAUGCUGCCACGCGAAUUCUCUUUUCUCUAAGACAGAUUGCGCGCUUAGAAUAGAAGAGUUGCCUGCAAGUGCUCAGUGUGUCUAACACUUUGCAUGUCUUGCCGUCUUUUGUGUAAAUAAAUGGACCUUGUAAGGCAGGGUGUGAAGCGGUUAUAAUUAACGGGACGAUGAGAAAAUGACAUACGUUCCUUACUGCGCUGGUGAUGGUUGUGUACACAAGGCUUAGCAAGGUAACAUUGUACAAACGUGACUGUUUCUGCGGCUGUUCACUCAAAUUAAGGUGUACUUUGCGGGCUGCAGAAACCUGACCAUCAAAUAAUGUAACUUGCUAUUAGACAAUAGUGUGCAGAAGCCUGGGAUUAGGGAACACCACAAACUGCGACGAAGCUAAAUGUCUGGAAAACAGUUCUGCCUACCACUCACCCCAUGAGAAGGUGCUAAAUUCGAGCCUUCACUCUGUGAAAAGGUGCUAGAUUGCUUUUGGAGCUACCAGUGUACCAUACCUGUCUUCUAUGGCAUACUUGAAUAGGGCGCUUAGGCGACAUGUCAAUCGAUGCUUUUUUCUAAUCAUGUCUAAUCAUACAUACUGCUAGUGUUCUGCCAAACUGGGUUCUUGCACAUUUAGAUGCUGGAGCUGACUUGAAAUAACUGGUAGUCCCUGUUUUGACACAUUCAUGUUCAGUUCACGGAUAUCUUCAAUCAAAUCACACUUAGCAUAAGUGAAAGUGUGUAUUCAGAAUAACUUCACAUCCUCCGGGUCUUUGUUCCGUGGAAUUACUCCCUGUUAAUUUGUAAAUGUCUUGCAGUGAGUUUUUUGUGGAAGUGCAUCACUUAUCUCCUUAGCAAAAAGUGUUGUUGGCUGGCUUUUUACGUUGCAUGUUAAACUAAAAAAAUUAUGCAACUGAUUAUUUACAUUUUGGCAUACUGUGUGCACCACUGUUACUAGAAGCAUAUUGUGUUUAUCAUGAAUACGUCUUUUAGACAGCCUCGAUUUGGUGAAGUAUGUGUGCAUAACAUCAAUAGCAAGCAUUGCUUUUGGUGAAUUGCUGACUCAAGAUUCUUUGCUGAACCUACUUGUGCAUAGUGGCCUGUAAACCAUGCAUUGCACUGUCUUGCUAGGUGUGUAGAUAGCAGUGUGCUGGCAUUGCUCUAGAGUUGCAGAUUAACGGUAAUUGUGUAUGUACCAUGGACUAGCUGUUCUCAACAGUACUUGCCACAUUUAAGCUCUAGUGGCUAGGAUCGUAAAGAAGUGCAAGCCAGAAACAAAUGUUUUUGCUAAAUGUUUGUAUGAAAAUACAACUACUGAAAAUAUGAUACCAUGCAGAAGUUAUGACUGACAACCGGUGCCUCAAAGUCAUUGUCCAGAUUGUGGCUCCAUCCAAAGAUUGCUGCCAAGCACAGGAUUAUGGUAUAGAAAUGGAAGUGUGAAAUCAGAGGACAGUGGCAAAGCAACAGAGCUGUAUUUUUAUGGAUUAUAAUUCAGUGCCUUUUUACUGUGCACACUUCAUAAAAAGUUGACUGGAGAGCCGCACCCCGUCCAUUUGCACGAUCAGUUCACUGGUGUGCCUUUGGUUGCAGGGGAACACAUUUUGAGUCUGAAUUCACAAAAUGCCUACAAAUUUGGGUGAAGAGACCUUGAAGAGACAACAAAAAUGAUGACAAUGUCCUAUAGUGCCUUCCUGUGUUAGCAAGGUAUCGAGUGAGAUAACUGAUCUAAGUGAAAUGCCAAGAGCAGUCAGUUGAAGAGUGCAUUCUGCCCAUGGCACAGUAAACUUUGUAGGGCAAAUCAGUUCUGCAAAAGUCUGUAAUGUGUCAAAACGUCCAUAAAAAGGAAUUGUGGUCUACUCAUUUAUAGCAUGAAGCUACAAGGAAAUCCAUAUGGAUGUCUUGUAAAGUGCUUCCAAGUUGAUGAAAAAUUCUUGACCAGCAUGAAUUUUUCAUCAACUGGGAAGCACUAUUCCUGAAAUAUGCAUAUCCACAUUGUUUCAUGCUCCAAACGAGUUGAUAACAGUUUUUUUCUGUCAUUUGUGAACGUUAUCCUUUCAAAAGCAAGUGCAAUGCAUACCUGCCAAGGUUCCCGGUUUUCUCGCAACUUUCCGCAACUUUCUCGCAGCGUAUUGCAACAGAAUCCUUGACAAGUUUAACAAACUGAUGUAAGACAUGGAAAUAUGAGUGGUCAUGUAGAGCAUCGUGGUGUUCUUUUUUCCUGGAAUGCGAGUGUGAUUUCGAUCUACGUAUUUAGUGGAAUUAACGAAGUUUGGCAGGGAACACAGAAUAUUGCAGUUCUCGUCAAUAAAUAUUAUCAGCAACAUGUAAUGCGUUGGAAAUUGGAGCUGUUUGCAUGUGCCCAUUCCAUACAUGGUGUAAUGGGCAACCUCAAGUUAUGUCUCUGGUACUAUAAGAUGUGAAUUCAGUUUGAUGAGCUGUCAUUGUUUUACUACAGUGAAAAGAUGUGCAAUGUUCAUUCUGUGCAUAUCUGUGGCACCCAACGAUUUGAUUGACAGUGAUAGUUUUUGAAAGUUGUGCUUUUGAAGUGUGCGCGAAGGGGGUCAUUUGUUUAUCGCUGUGCUUCUACUCGACAAAACUGGUCCCUGCAUUUUGUAUCGCUUGAGCGCUACUACACUGACUGUGGUGGAAGGAGCGUAUGUCCCAUUAGAGAAAUAUUUUAUUGUACGAAAUGGUCGUAUAUAGAGUGAAGUAUUUGAACUACUGCCACUUAUCUGUGUAAGCAGGCAGAAGACACAUUAUGCAAGCUUGUUGUUCUUGGCAUCUGUCUAUGCAAUUUGCCUUUUGUGUUUGGUGAUCAGACUUCAUAGAUUUAAGGUUGAAAGAGCGAAGGAAAAUUUGGGGAGGGCUAUUCUGUCAUAGAGUUGUAGAUCUGGAGGCUUGUGACUUAUCGACCACUGCAGCGUGCAAAAAAUAAUGUUGAUCUCUUUUUAGGCGUGAUAGUUGGAGCUAUCUGUGUGCAUCCAAGCAGGUGCCAAACAUUUCCAAUGUAACAAAACAGUGCUGCAUUUUCACUCUGUCUUGGCAGACUGCGUAACGACUGUCCCGUGAAGCUAACUGCAUGAUUUGUUUGUAAACUGGCCGGCGCUGAUGGCCUCUAGAUGUUUGAUAUAGUCGACGGGAAAACAUCUGCAUACCUUUGCCAACGUCCGUUUGAGAAGAUUACAUUGCUUGUAGGAUUCUGUGUCAGUGCCUGCGCUUUUGGGUGUGUAAUUAUGAACCUUUCUUGAUGAAGCUUGGUCCAAGACACGAUAAUGAAAUUGGGACAGUGCUUGUCACUGUUCGGAUAGUACGUAUGAAACUGGGAUAUGUUCCGUUUACUUCAGCGCGUCUGGUAACUUUGUUCACCUGCAACUGCUAACCGUCCUGCUGGCCAUGGCGUAUUCCGUUCUGUGAUUUCAUAUUUUAUUGCAAGCUGUUUUAGUGUAAAAAUUGCACUGGUGAUCUCUUCAGGUGUAUCACUAUUCUGUUCUAUGUUUUCACGCUUAGAAGCGGUGCAUGUAAUUAAAUAAGCGUACUCGUGAAUACUCUAGCUACUGCACAGAUGUAUAGGCUGCCUUCUUGGUGUCAACGUUUUCUGUGAUCGACAAAAGCCUAGUAUGUGAGGUUGUCCCUCGCACGUGACAUUUUCUUUAGCCUAUGCAAAGUUUUAGGUAUACAAGAGUACAUGACACUAUUUUUACAGCUUUUCCACGUUUUCUUGUAGCUUGCUUCUUUCAUGUGACUGCCACGUUUGCUGCUGGUAUGCUGCCGCAUCUUUUAAAAAAAUUUUUGUGAGCAAGGUUUAUCACGAGCUCUUCAUAGAAUUUACGUGACUCCCGCUGCCUUGCAUUUUGUGAAUUUGUUUUGACAGCGGCGUAUGUAUCCCUCUCGUUUUGACUGCUGCGACUGCGGUGUAUUGGCAGUAAUUUUUUUUUGGCAGUGGUGUUCUUGUUUGCAGGCGAACAAGCUAAGGUUACAACGAAUAUAUUGGUGGGCAUCACUUAAAUGCCUGAAUAAACUUCCUCAGGCAAAAA
rnacentral:misc_RNA from 1 species